UUAUAUAGAAUAACAUAUAGCGGGAAGUACUAUGAUAAUAAAAUUAUUGUCCUUAUAAGAUAUUUAUUAAGAACUUUUGAAUGACUUGAUUGGGUACCAUGACAUUCUAUUAAUCAAUACAUGUACAUAAACUUCAAAUACAACCAUGAUUCUAAUUGUACAUUUUGUAAUUAUUUUAGUCUUAAAAAUGUGGCAAAUACAUGAAAGGUAAUGAUGAAGCUUAAGAGGUUAUGCCUUUCUUCAUCAGGUUAAGGGUAGUAUUACUGUACAUGAUGCAUAUUUGAAUGGAGAUCUGUAUUUCUAUAUCAUUCAUCUUUUACUGUAUAAUGUAAAGGAUGGCAAUUCUACUUGUGUGACUGGGUAAUCCAUUACAAUUUACAAUGUAUUGGAAAAUAAAUGUACUUCACUAAUGAACCAUCUUAAUGCUAUCAUACAUCAUUUAUUGUGUGCAGGUUAAGCUGACAAAGAAGGGCAUCACCUGACUCACCAAAUAUAUUUCUCUGUAAAUUCAGAAAUUAUUGUGUGCAUUUAUUAUUGCGAUUUUGUCAUUUUAGACUAAAAUUUGAUUUUAAUUUUUGUGAUUUUGAGAAAAAUCUUAUUUAAUUCAUAUAAAAAAAAUGAAAUCCAAGUUUAAACUAUUAUAUUACUAUACUAAUCAAGUGGCAUUAUUUUGCAUUAAU
rnacentral:lncRNA from 1 species